AUUGAACGCUGGCGGCAGGCCUAACACAUGCAAGUCGAGCGGAUGAAGGGAGCUUGCUCCUGGAUUCAGCGGCGGACGGGUGAGUAAUGCCUAGGAAUCUGCCUGGUAGUGGGGGAUAACGUCCGGAAACGGGCGCUAAUACAGCAUACGUCCUGAGGGAGAAAGUGGGUGAUCUUCGGACCUCACGCUAUCAGAUGAGCCUAGGUCGGAUUAGCUAGUUGGUGGGGUAAAGGCCUACCAAGGCGACGAUCCGUAACUGGUCUGAGAGGAUGAUCAGUCACACUGGAACUGAGACACGGUCCAGACUCCUACGGGAGGCAGCAGUGGGGAAUAUUGGACAAUGGGCGAAAGCCUGAUCCAGCCAUGCCGCGUGUGUGAAGAAAGUCUUCGGAUUGUAAAGCACUUUAAGUUGGGAGGAAGGGCAGUAAGUUAAUACCUUGCUGUUUUGACGUUACCAACAGAAUAAGCACCGGCUAACUUCGUG
rnacentral:rRNA from 1 species